AAGGAUCAUUGAAUGGUUGCAUAGAAACAGGCUGGACUUCUCGACCUACUUGACUAUAUUUUUCUUCAGUACUGAUGGAAAAGCUAAUCCAAUUGAGCUUGUUCAAGCUUUGGCUUUGUAAAUUCAAAGACUUUUAACAUCAAUUUGAUUUUCUUCCUCACCAUCUGGCCCUUCCGCUUUUCUCUCCCUUCUCUCUACUUUCUCUCUCUAAAAACUAGCUUUAAAAACUAGAUCUCGGGUUCCGACUGGGAGAGGGGCGGCGCCUCUCCCCCUCCCCUCUUCCUCUCCUCCUCCCACCCCUACCGUUCGUUGUCUGGUUCUCCGGCCAGGUGGUUCAAGCGCUAGGUCGCCAGUGAACUCGUUACCGACCUUCGGUCGGUUGGUCUAUCUAGGAUGGCUCCUCCUUCUUCUCUCAAUCUCUAGAUGUUUCUUGGGUUGACAGUGGUUGUGGUUGCAAUAACCAGUGAGGGCGAAGUGUUCGAAGUUUGAGAUCUGUGGCCGCCAUGGUUGCGUGAGCUGGUUUUGCUACUGUCGUGCCCACUCGCGCGCCGAAGUCUAUUGUGCCAGCGAAGACUUGCCCUGGAGUGGCGUCCAUGUUGUAAUUGCAAAGCCGCGCCAGCUCUUCGUUGGUGUUGUUUUCUGAUCAAGAGGUUGCCGGUGUGUCAGUUUGGGUUUCUGCUUCCGAUUUACGAUUUCAUCUUGCACUUACUUCGGGUUUGAGCUGUGAAUCCUUUUGAAUCCUCUACUGCUGAGUCACUGACGGGUCUCUCAUACCGGCAGUUAGUGUAGGUUUGCUUCGGCAAGGGUUCCUUAAAUCUGUAGUCUGUGUGCUUUUAGCAGUAACUCGUGUCUUUGAUUUACUAGUAAUUUUGGUUCAUUCAUGUACAUUGUGAUGAAAUCUUUUCCCUUUGCAUGAUGAAUGAAUUGCUUGACGUUUGAUAAAAAAAAAAAAACCCCAUCAAUUUGAAUAUCAAUUAAAAAAUCAAGCCGAACUCAAAUCGAACAGGUUUGGGAUCAACUCUUUAUUGGCACCUUUGGGCUUUGAGAAAUUAGAACCAUUACAAUGACCCCUGGAUUAAAUGGUCAUAGAACAACGGUAAUGCUAGGCACUGAACACUACCACAAACUUCAGCUAAUGUAGUACAUAGGAUCCGGCACCUUGAAAGUCCUAUUGCCGACGUAGGUACCGAACAAAUCACUCCAUUGAUCCCCUAUGUUUCCAAGGAUUCUGUAUCCUGCUUCCACAAGUUCUUUCCUCUUCGCCGAUUUGUACACCAAUGCCGUGGCACCACUCUCCGAUGUUGCC